GGGUAUGAUGAUUCAAAGUUUAAAAGGGCUGAUGGUUUUGGGCUUGGGAAUCUUAUCAAGAAGUGUAGAUUUAAUGGGUUGUAUGAAAAGAUUUUUGAUGGGUUGGAUGAGAAGGUUGGUUAAUACAGUGGUGAGAGAGAGAAACAAGCAACCUCCACCCUAGUGAGCCAUCUAAACUGAGUGAAGAUAAACCCAGUGCAAAAUGUGAGAAAAACCUCUCUGGGUGCGUUCGAGAUGGAGUGUUCAUUGAGACACCAUCAAAAAUCUGAAAGAAAGCCAUUUGGGUGCAAAAACCAAAUUACCUCAAGAACAAGCUUGACACGCUCCCUGAUAUGACUCCAAAACAUCCCCCCCAAAACCCAAAGCCAAGACACAACCAAGUGUGAAUCCUCAACCCAAAAUAAACCCUCUGCCC
rnacentral:lncRNA from 1 species